AGCGUUAUCCGGAUUUACUGGGCGUAAAGGGUGCGUAGGCGGUCUUUCAAGUCAGGAGUGAAAGGCUACGGCUCAACCGUAGUAAGCUCUUGAAACUGGGAGGCUUGAGUGCAGGAGAGGAGAGUGGAAUUCCUAGUGUAGCGGUGAAAUGCGUAGAUAUUAGGAGGAACACCAGUUGCGAAGGCGGCUCUCUGGACUGUAACUG
rnacentral:rRNA from 1 species